AAGACUAUAGACCUGCGGAGUACCUGCGGAAGGAUCAUUAACGAGUUAGGGUCUUCCACGGCCCGACCUCCCAACCCUCUGUUUACUGAACCUCUGUUGCUUCGGCGGGCCCGUCCUCCGGGGCCGCCGGAGGGUCGUCGCGAGACGCCCUCUGGCCCGCGUCCGCCGACAGCCAACCCAUUGAACUCUGAAUAAACCGUGUUUGUAAUGUCUGAGUUUUUGUGAAAAAUGCAACCUAAA
rnacentral:misc_RNA from 1 species